UACGUAGGGUGCAAGCGUUGCCCGGAUUUAUUGGGCGUAAAGGGCGCGCAGGCGGCUACGCACGUCCGUUGUGAAAUCGCUCGGCUCAACUGGGCGGGGUCAGCGGAUACGGCGUAGCUGGAGCAAGCUAGGGGGCAAUGGAAUUCCUGGUGUAGCGGUGGAAUGCGCAGAUAUCAGGAAGAACACCCGUGGCGAAGGCGGCUCUCUGGGACGGUACUGACGCUGAGACGCGAAAGCGUGGGGAGCGAACAGG
rnacentral:rRNA from 1 species